AACCUAUGGGAGAAGCUAUCUCAUGUUCAGCUAAUACCUGACAUGCCUGACUCCAUCAUUUGGAAGCUCACCAAGGAUGGUCACUAUUCCGCAGCAACGGCUUACAGUGCGCAGUUUCUCGGUUUAGUCGACUCGGACUUGCCUCAAAUUGUUUGGACAACUUGGGCCCCCCCAAAAUGCAAGUUUUUCGCUUGGCUAGUCAUCAACAAUAGAAUCUGGACGGCAGACCGGCUUCAGAAGCGAGGGUGGCCUAAUUGCAACAUGUGCCCCCUGUGCAAGCAAGUCCAGGAAUCGGCGGCUCAUCUGCUUUUUAAAUGCCGC
rnacentral:rRNA from 1 species